rnacentral:rRNA from 1 species
GAGUUUGAUCCUGGCUCAGAUUGAACGCUGGCGGCAUGCCUUACACAUGCAAGUCGAACGGCAGCACGGGGGCAACCCUGGUGGCGAGUGGCGAACGGGUGAGUAAUACAUCGGAACGUGUCCUGUAGUGGGGGAUAGCCCGGCGAAAGCCGGAUUAAUACCGCAUACGAUCUGUGGAUGAAAGCGGGGGAUCCUUCGGGACCUCGCGCUACAGGGGCGGCCGAUGGCAGAUUAGCUAGUUGGUGGGGUAAAGGCCUACCAAGGCGACGAUCUGUAGCUGGUCUGAGAGGACGACCAGCCACACUGGGACUGAGACACGGCCCAGACUCCUACGGGAGGCAGCAGUGGGGAAUUUUGGACAAUGGGCGCAAGCCUGAUCCAGCCAUGCCGCGUGCAGGAUGAAGGCCUUCGGGUUGUAAACUGCUUUUGUACGGAACGAAAAGGUUCUCUCUAAUACAGGGGGCUCAUGACGGUACCGUAAGAAUAAGCACCGGCUAACUACGUGCCAGCAGCCGCGGUAAUACGUAGGGUGCAAGCGUUAAUCGGAAUUACUGGGCGUAAAGCGUGCGCAGGCGGUGAUGUAAGACAGAUGUGAAAUCCCCGGGCUCAACCUGGGAACUGCAUUUGUGACUGCAUCGCUGGAGUGCGGCAGAGGGGGAUGGAAUUCCGCGUGUAGCAGUGAAAUGCGUAGAUAUGCGGAGGAACACCGAUGGCGAAGGCAAUCCCCUGGGCCUGCACUGACGCUCAUGCACGAAAGCGUGGGGAGCAAACAGGAUUAGAUCCCUGGUAGU